rnacentral:rRNA from 1 species
UAAGGAAUAUUGGGCAAUGGACGCAAGUCUGACCCAGCCAUGCCGCGUGGAGGAUGCAGGUCCUCUGGAUUGUAAACUUCUUUUAUUUGGGAAGAAACCCGGAUUUUCUAAUUCGGUUGACCGUACCAGAUGAAUAAGCACCGGCUAACUCCGUGCCAGCAGCCGCGGUAAUACGGAGGGUGCAAGCGUUAUCCGGAUUCACUGGGUUUAAAGGGUGCGUAGGCGGGCAGGUAAGUCAGUGGUGAAAUCUCCGGGCUUAACCCGGAAACUGCCGUUGAUACUAUCAGUCUUGAAUAUCGUGGAGGUAAGCGGAAUAUGUCAUGUAGCGGUGAAAUGCUUAGAUAUGACAUAGAACACCGAUUGCGAAGGCAGCUUACUACACGAUCAUUGACGCUGAGGCACGAAAGCGUGGGGAGCAAAC